rnacentral:rRNA from 1 species
UACGUAGGGUGCAAGCGUUAAUCGGAAUUACUGGGCGUAAAGCGUGCGCAGGCGGUUAUGCAAGACAGAUGUGAAAUCCCCGGGCUCAACCUGGGAACUGCAUUUGUGACUGCAUAGCUAGAGUGCGGCAGAGGGAGAUGGAAUUCCGCGCGUAGCAGUGAAAUGCGUAGAUAUGCGGAGGAACACCGAUGGCGAAGGCAAUCUCCUGGGCCUGCACUGACGCUCAUGCACGAAAGCGUGGGGAGCAAACAGG